rnacentral:rRNA from 1 species
GAUGAACGCUGGCGGCGUGCCUAAUACAUGCAAGUCGAGCGAACAGACGAGGAGCUUGCUCCUCUGACGUUAGCGGCGGACGGGUGAGUAACACGUGGAUAACCUACCUAUAAGACUGGGAUAACUUCGGGAAACCGGAGCUAAUACCGGAUAAUAUAUUGAACCGCAUGGUUCAAUAGUGAAAGACGGUUUUGCUGUCACUUAUAGAUGGAUCCGCGCCGGAUUAGCUAGUUGGUAAGGUAACGGCUUACCAAGGCAACGAUGCGUAGCCGACCUGAGAGGGUGAUCGGCCACACUGGAACUGAGACACGGUCCAGACUCCUACGGGAGGCAGCAGUAGGGAAUCUUCCGCAAUGGGCGAAAGCCUGACGGAGCAACGCCGCGUGAGUGAUGAAGGUCUUCGGAUCGUAAAACUCUUUUAUUAGGGAAGAACAAAUGUGUAAGUAACUAUGCACGUCUUGACGGUACCUAAUCAGAAAGCCACGGCUAACUACGUG